rnacentral:rRNA from 1 species
UACAGAGGGUGCGAGCGUUAAUCGGAAUUACUGGGCGUAAAGCGCGCGUAGGCGGCUUUUCAAGUCGAUUGUGAAAUCCCCGGGCUUAACCUGGGAACUGCAGUCGAGACUGUCUAGCUAGAGUAUGGGAGAGGGAAGUGGAAUUUCAGGUGUAGCGGUGAAAUGCGUAGAUAUCGGGAGGAACACCAGUGGCGAAGGCGACUUCCUGGCCUGUUCUUGACGCUGAGGCGCGAAAGCUAGGGUAGCAAACGGG